rnacentral:rRNA from 1 species
GAUGAACGCUGGCGGCGGGCCUAAUACAUGCAAGUCGAGCGAACAGACGAGUAGCUUUCUCCUCUGACGUGAGGGGCGGACGGGCGAGUAACACGUGGAUAACCUACCUAUAAGACUGGGAUAACUUCGGAAAACCGGAGCUAAUACCGGAGAAUAUAAUGAACGGCAUGGUUCAAUAGUGAAAAACGGUUUGGCUAUGAUUGGUAGGUGUAUCCGCCCCGCAUUAGCUAGUUGGUGAGGUAACGGCUUACCAAGGCAACGCUGCGUAGCGUACGUGAGAUGGUGAUAGUCCACCCCGCAACUGAACCACGGUCCAGACCCCUACGGGACGCAGCAGUAGGGAAUCUUCCGCAAUGGGCGAAAGCCUGACGGAGCACCGCCGCGUGAGUGAUGAAGGUCUUCGGAUCGUAAAACUAUGUUAUUAGGGAACAACAAAUGUGUAAGUAACUCUGCACGUCUUGACGGUACCUAAUCAGAAAGCCACGGCUAACUCCGUG